rnacentral:rRNA from 1 species
UGCGAAGGGGGCUAGCGUUGUUCGGAAUGACUGGGCGUAAAGGGCUCGUAGGCGGUCCAUCACGUCGGGAGUGAAAAGCUGGGGCUUAACCCCAGUCCUGCUUCCGAUACGGGUGGACUAGAGGUAGGCAGGGGAGAACGGAAUUCCUGGUGUAGCGGUGAAAUGCGCAGAUAUCAGGAGGAACACCGAUGGCGAAGGCAGGUCUCUGGGCCGAUACUGACGCUGAGGAGCGAAAGCGUGGGGAGCGAACAGG